GGGCGUUUAGCUCAGUGGUAGAGCGCCCGCUUUGCAUUCCUUCUGUGUCUGCGGGAGGCCCAGGGUUCAAUCCCCUGAUCGUCCA
rnacentral:tRNA from 1 species